UACGUAGGGUGCAAGCGUUAAUCGGAAUUACUGGGCGUAAAGCGUGCGCAGGCGGUUCUAUAAGUCAGAUGUGAAAUCCCCGGGCUCAACCUGGGAACUGCAUUUGGGACUGUAGAGCUGGAGUACGGCAGAGGGGGAUGGAAUUCCGCGUGUAGCAGUGAAAUGCGUAGAUAUGCGGAGGAACACCGAUGGCGAAGGCAAUCCCCUGGGCCUGUACUGACGCUCAUGCACGAAAGCGUGGGGAGCAAACAGG
rnacentral:rRNA from 1 species